AGCGAACGCUGGCGGCAGGCUUAACACAUGCAAGUCGAACGCAUCCUUCGGGGUGAGUGGCAGACGGGUGAGUAACACGUGGGAACGUACCUCUUUGUUCGGAAUAGCUUUUGGAAACGAAAGGUAAUACCGGAUACGCCCUUUUGGGGAAAGAUUUAUCGCAGAGAGAUCGGCCCGCGUCUGAUUAGCUAGUUGGUGAGGUAAUGGCUCACCAAGGCGACGAUCAGUAGCUGGUCUGAGAGGAUGAUCAGCCACACUGGGACUGAGACACGGCCCAGACUCCUACGGGAGGCAGCAGUGGGGAAUAUUGGACAAUGGGCGCAAGCCUGAUCCAGCCAUGCCGCGUGAGUGAUGAAGGCCUUAGGGUUGUAAAGCUCUUUUGUCCGGGAAGAUAAUGACUGUACCGGAAGAAUAAGCCCCGGCUAACUUCGUGCCAGCCGCCGCCGUAA
rnacentral:rRNA from 1 species